GGAGAUGUGCCAGAGUGGCCGAAUGGGACUCACUGCUAAUGAGUUGCCUGCUUAACAGCGGGCCGGAGGUUCGAAUCCUCUCAUCUCCG
rnacentral:tRNA from 5 species